rnacentral:rRNA from 1 species
UACGUAGGUGGCAAGCGUUGUUCGGAAUUACUGGGCGUAAAGCGCGUGUAGGCGGCUCUUCAAGUCAGACGUGAAAGCCCCGGGCUUAACUCGGGAACUGCGUUUGAUACUGUCGAGCUAGAGUGUGGAAGGGGCGAUUGGAAUUCCGUGUGUAGCGGUGAAAUGCGUAGAUAUACGGAGGAACACCAGGGGCGAAGGCGGAUCGCUGGGCCAACACUGACGCUGAGACGCGAAAGCUAGGGGAGCAAACGGG